UCUCCACAUGAACACAGUAUACUAACAUACAUGAGCUAAUGUUUACCAAAAAUAGCUGCAUCUCCCUCGUUAACGGAGUAAUGAUGGCAGAUACUGGUGUAGCAGGAGCUUGGCCUGAAGCCCGUGCCUGAUUCUUCUCUGUGUGAGGACUUGGUUCUUGGUUUGGCUGUGGGGAACAAAUUUGGAACUGUCGUCAACUGCAUGACUUCAGUUCAGGUUUAAAACCUUAUCUAGCUCAUUGUGAUUGUCUUGAUUAUGCCAUUAAAGAACUUUUAAGAUUUGUGUAUUAUGCCACUAAGACAUAUUACCUUCUCUAUGUUAAAAAGGCAUGUUUUGCUUAAACGACUCAGCCAACUACGGCUCUCAGUUGUAGUCUUCAUGGUUUUGUUCCUCCAUUCUUGGCACGUCCUUAUCUGCAAAUGAAUGUCAACCUUCCAUUACUAUCU